GGCCUGCUGGUCGGCGGCUACCACGGCAAGUGGCUGAGCGCCGCCGACGCGUACGGCGCGAUCGUCUCGCGGCGGGGCA
rnacentral:tRNA from 2 species